rnacentral:lncRNA from 1 species
GACUUUCAUGAACAGAAAUAGUCUCCAUAAUCUAAUCUCCAGAAUGCACUAAACCAGGAGAAGAUCCACCUGGUAUCAUAAUGACAGUUCAUUUUCAGGAUAAUUUCGUUGUCAAAGGAAUGGAAGAAUAUUAAGGAGAACAAGUCCUCAUCUCUCCAAAGACCCUUCAUCCUUCAUUUCACAAUAGUCUUUAUUGGUCUGCUGGAGUUUGCUGGAGGUCCACUCCAGACCCUGUUUGCCUGGGUAUCACCGGCAGAGGCUGCAGAGCAGCAAAGAUUGCUGCCUGCUCCUUCCUCUGGAAGCUUCAUCCCAAAGGGGCACCCGCCUGAUGCCAGCCAGAGCUCUCCUGUACGAGAGAUGCCCUGCCCAGUGAGGAGGAAUCUAGAGAAGCAGUCUGGCCAUAGCUUUGCUGCACUGCGAUGUUACCUUUUUGACAUAACCAAGUAAACCAACAGGCUUGAAGACACACCGAUCAUAAAAAUGAAUCUAAGAACCCAGGUGUAAUCUUCUGAUUUCUAGGUCCCAGCGCUUCUCAUUUUUAAGCAGAGUUUCAUAGAAAUACUCUAUUCAAACAAACAAACAAAAAAAACAGAAAAGCCACAGACCUCUGUAACAUUUAAGCAGAGGUGUCCUCUUAGUAAAAUGUAAAAUACAUGUGUGAAAUCUGUUUCCAACAA